AUGACUACUGGUAAACUCAAGGGAGACUUAAGGGAAAAGAUGCAACUCGGUCUGAUGCAGAAACAUGAAUACAAACUAUCUGUCUCAGUGCAGGCUCAACCUUUCCAACAUGCAGAAUCAUCAAGUAACAACUUCGAUAGUGGCUGCCAUAAUGUGAUGUUAUUGAAGGAUGUUUUUCUGAUGCAAAGUAGGGCGAGGUAUCAUUUGUCAAGCACCAAGUUUCAGCGUGUAGUAAAUUAUAAUGCAGAAGAGAGCGACUGA